rnacentral:lncRNA from 1 species
GGAAAGCCAAACAUGCACUAUGUAUGAUUGUAUGAUGCUGAUCAUCGUGAGGCGUUUUGGUCCCAUAAGUCGUGGCGCGCAUCUGUGCGCAACCAAAUAACCUUUAUUUACAACCAGAAGCGGUUUCUCUAAUUUUUUUAUGUAUCAACCUAUUUAUCAAUUAAUUGAAGAACAUGGGUAGAUGAUGAAUGGCCAAACGAUAGAAAGAGCUCGAGCUAUGGUUUCGGUUGAUGAUGAUGAUGCUAUGAAAAGAAGUAGCGUUGAUGCCUAGAUACACAUUUAGACGUUUAGGUUUAAUAUGUUGUAUCAAUUUUGCUUGUGUUGUCAUGUACUUCUUUUGAACUUGUUGUAUUUGAAUUUCUUGUAAUGUUGACAAUUUACUUUAUGAAAUGAAAUCGGAUUAUUA